GAGCUGAAGAUUAAUGGCAGGAAAUACAUCUGGGGCAAUAACCAAGACUCUUUGGUUAUGGCCACUAUAGAUAGGGUUUUCAUGUCCACUAAUUGGGCAACAUCUUUUCCUAAUGUUCAGCUCAGAGCUCUUCCUAGGGUUGGAAGUGAUCAUACCCCUCUGGUAUUGAACACUUGUGCUUUCUCCCCCCCUAAAGAGAAAGCUUUUAGAUUUGAGGAAUGGUUUCUUGAAGUAGAUGGCUUUAGGGAAGUAGUUCAUAAAGCCUGGAGCACUAAAUGUUGCUUUACCAAAGCUAUUGAUAUUUGGCAGUUUAAUAUUAGAAAUACCAGGAAAGCUAUUAAAGGCUGGUGUGCUAAUUUUGAGGCGGAGCAAAAAAGGCAGAAACAUGCCUUGGUGGCUGAAUAUAACUGCCUUGAUAUUAUUGCUGAGUCUCAACCUCUCUCACCUAGCUCUAUGCUGAGGAUUAAAAACAUUGCAAGUGAGCUGAAUGAUAUCUGGAAAAGAGAAGAGAUAAAAGCUAGACAGAGGUCCAGGGAGAGGGAGAUCCUGGAAGGUGAUCUCAACACUGGCUACUUUAAAGCUGUGGCAAGCCUAAAAAGGAGGAAGAAACAGAUCCUGAUGCUGGAAAAUGAUGAAGGUAUUGUCACUGACCCAGAAGGUAUUAUGAAUACUGCUGUUGAUUACUAUAAAAGCUAUUUGGCUUUGUAG
rnacentral:rRNA from 1 species